GGGGGCGUACUGGUUUCGACGGGGGUGCGGAAGCAGGAAUAGCGGGCAGAUGCGCCUGGCAUCUUUAAAACGGGCACCUUAUAAAUUAAAGAACGACGAUAACGUAGUUCUCGCCGCUGCCUAAAGCGGCCGUCCGCCUCGGGAGUACCACGGCUUGGGGAGCGGGCGUCGACUAGUGGUGAACGUGAGUGCGCAAAGCUUUGAGCGCACCACGCAUAAUGAAGCUACCGAACCGGUGAGCGUGGCGGUCCGCGCUCCGGCAAGGGAAUUUAAAUGACCGCCUGCGCCCGGAGAAGUUCCUGUGGAAGCGCUUUCGGACGGGGGUUCGAUUCCCCCCGCCUCCACCA
rnacentral:tmRNA from 1 species